rnacentral:rRNA from 1 species
UACGUGGGGUGCAAGCGUUGUUCGGAAUUACUGGGCGUAAAGCGCGUGUAGGCGGUUCGCUAAGUUCGAUGUGAAAGCCCUGGGCUUAACCCAGGAACUGCAUUGAAAACUGGCAGACUUGAGUCCGGGAGAGGGUCGCGGAAUUCCUGGUGUAGAGGUGAAAUUCGUAGAUAUCAGGAGGAACACCGGUGGCGAAGGCGGCGCCUGGACCGGUACUGACGCUGAGACGCGAAAGCGUGGGGAGCAAACAGG